rnacentral:rRNA from 1 species
GGAGUUAGGAAAUGUAAGUUUGAGAAUACCAAAUUUACUUGACAAAAGCUCCAAAGGAAGCCACGGCUAACUCUGUGCCAGCAGCCGCGGUAAUACAGAGGUGGCGAGCGUUGUUCGGAAUUAUUGGGCGUAAAGAGCACGUAGGUGGAUUUGUAAGUCAGAUGUGAAAGCCUUCUGUUCAACGGAAGAAUUGCAUCUGAAACUGCAAACCUUGAGUAUAGGAGGGGAGAGUGGAACUUCUGGU